GACGAACGCUGGCGGCGUGCCUAAUACAUGCAAGUUGAGCGCUGAAGGUUGGUACUUGUACCAACUGGAUGAGCAGCGAACGGGUGAGUAACGCGUGGGGAAUCUGCCUUUGAGCGGGGGACAACAUUUGGAAACGAAUGCUAAUACCGCAUAAAAACUUUAAACACAAGUUUUAAGUUUGAAAUAUGCAAUUGCAUCACUCAAAGAUGAUCCCGCGUUGUAUUAGCUAGUUGGUGAGGUAAAGGCUCACCAAGGCGAUGAUACAUAGCCGACCGGAGAGGGUGAUCGGCCACAUUGGGACUGAGACACGGCCCAAACUCCUACGGGAGGCAGCAGUAGGGAAUCUUCGGCAAUGGACGAAAGUCUGACCGAGCAACGCCGCGUGAGUGAAGAAGGUUUUCGGAUCGUAAAACUCUGUUGGUAGAGAAGAACGUUGGUGAGAGUGGAAAGCUCAGCAAGUGACGGUAACUACCCAGAAAGGGACGGCUAACUACGUG
rnacentral:rRNA from 1 species